rnacentral:lncRNA from 1 species
UUAUUUUUCAACACUUUCAUAGAAUUUUUGUUGGUCAGAUUUCAACUUUCAAGUUUUUCUCGUUUUCAUGUCUCUUCUAUCACUCUAAAAAAAAAUUGUCAAUCUCGUUGAAAAAUCGAUUAAGAAGGAGAAAAGAAGGGAUAAAGAUGGGUGACAAAGUUAGAAGAAAUUGAAGAAAUCUAAGGUGAUGACAAUUUUGUUGGUGGUUUGUAAAGUUGAUGGUGGUAAUUAAUUGAUGAUUUGAGUUUGGCUAUCAAUGGAGGUUUUGAGAUUGAAUAUAGAAGAAAAUGAAGAAGGAAAAAGUUUAAAUUUAACAAAAAAAGAAAAAAGUAGGAAAAAUAAUAAAUUUAUUGUAUUUUUUGCGUGGUACUGAGGUGGCGUGUGCGUGUGGAACGUCCCCACCUUAUGAGAGUGGUAUAUCUAUUUUAG